rnacentral:sRNA from 1 species
UCGUCCAUGAUCUGCGGGCAGAUGAAGUGGACGUGGCAGUCGAUGCCGCCGGCAGUGAGGAUCUUGCCGUUGCCGGCGAUGAUCUCGGUGGACGGGCCGAUCACCAGAUCGGGAUGGAUCCCGUUCAUGGUGUCGGGGUUGCCGGCCUUGCCGAGGGCGACGAUGCGGCCGUCACGCAGUCCGACGUCGGCCUUGAUCACGCCCCAGUGGUCGAGCACCACGACGCCGGUGAUCACGGUGUCGGGGGCGCCGUCGGCGCGGGAGGCGCGGCUCUGCCCCAUCGA